CCGCAAAGAGCUUGGAUCCUGACACUUCAAUGGCGUAUCGAGUAUUUUCAUCGCGUUCCCGAGCAACAGGAAGAGGAAAACUCCGAACAGACGGAUGCUUUUAAUAACCAUAUUACGGUACACUGUCAUCGCGAGUGUCAUUAGAGGUUCCAUGGUACCGGUGCAAUAAACUAACUGGAACCAGGAAAUAGCCGAUGUCGUGAUAAGGAAUUCUGAAGAAUAAGAAGAGAUAUUAGAGGAAAGAAAUAGAAGUUUGCAGACACUUGUGUUGAUAUUUGAACGAUUAACGAUGGUGAUUACGAACAUUCGAUAAAAGUGGAGUCUCGUUUCAGAAGAUAUGUUCCAUCGUUUGAUGUUCAAAUAAAAUAAAGAAGGGACGAAGGUAAGGCCAGGUAGAGUGUCGCGUUCAAUCAAUAGCUCUAUAUGCAGCUCAAAAUAACUAGAGGAUCAGCUACCUAAACAUGUUUAUCGCUCGUUCAAGUGUCCAAUAUUUUAAAAGCUCCUAUAUACUGGGUAAAGUGAAACUUUCACCGAGGAACUUUUAUUGUUAAUUAAAACUAUAAGCUAGGAAACAUGGAAUUGGUAAAGUAGUUAGACAAAUUGCGAUGGUACACCAACUCUGCUAUAACCUAAUUCUGAAGCUAGCAAAAAUAAAAUUAUUUCAACUAAUAUACUCUAAUAUUUGCUUACUUAAGCUUCGAGCUAGCAAACAUCGAAUAUCAGAAUAUUUAUAACCGAAGCCCAAAGCUAUCCAAAGUGUAAUACAUAUAGUCUAUCGAUACAAACUAGAUCCAAGAACACUAAAUCCCACAAAUUGGCCCACUUUAAAUACUAAAUGUACAACCCACUUUGUCACCCUCAGAUCAUCGAAUUAGUAAAGUUCAACACUGUACCCUAAACUUGUUACAAGCCAUUCUAUGUCAUCUUCGAUAAACAAUACCACGAUAACUGUAUUGAAGUUUGAUAAGGAUCUGGAGACGAAUAAAGGAAUAGUUAAACUCGUCGAGUCUGAAAGAAAAAGGAUAAAAGAGAAAAAGUGAACUCGAUCGUCGUUUCUUAGUUUCUCCAUUGGGAAAUGAAAGCAUCUAGCUGGAAAAAGAACGAGAUACUCGUCUAACGAAUUCCUUGGAAGAUUCUUAAACAAGAUGCUCCCGGUUUAAGAUUGCAGAGUUGUGCUGCAGAUAGUUGUCGAGCUUUGCAAAAGUUUUACGAACUUUAUACAAUAAAGUUUAGUUUCCCGUUGAAGGAAGACGUCUUCUUUGAUAUUGAAAACUAGUUAGAGUCGACCGAGAAACACUGAAGGAUCUACGACUUUUAUCAUCGCAAUAGAAAAUAUUAUUCAAAAUUGAGAAUUUUCUUAGCGUUAAUUAUCAAAUAAUAUAUGUUGGUUAAUCAAACCUACAAAAUUCAUAGAAAGAUACUUUGUACCUUUAAAAAAUUCCCAACUAAUUCCCUUUAAUGCAAUAAAUGUAUGAUAAUAAUAUUAUCAACCGAGUGAUGAUCUGUUAUCAGUAUCACAAUGAUGUCAGCUAGGAAACAAGUAAAAUUUGGAUAAUAGAUUUCACCUUAUCUCGUUUACAUUUCGUAUUAUCUAUGUAUACUUAACAGGUGUUCAUUUUUCAAACGUCCUUCGGAAUAUAAAAAAAGAGUCUAAGUUAACGAAGAAUUUUUUUCUACCAAUAUUGUUCAGAUAGAAACAAUGUUGCACUUUUGAAAGAACUAGGAGAAUAGAUAGGAACGGUUCACGGUACAGUGAUUUAUCCGUGUUACAAAAGACACUGACGAAACUUUCAUCGAUUCAAUGGGGAAAAAAAAGACGAGGCACAGAUCAGCGAGCAACGUAGCGUCGUUGGUUCGGUUUUUCGAAAAAUCGCACGACAACCGCGUGGCAAAAAGCGGUCGAGCGUUUAACUUGGCUGGAACUCAGACCGUCGACUUUCAUCGCGAACAAAAGAAUUCAUUUUCAACCGGUGUACAAUACCGCCGUGGUUUAUUAUACACUUCGGCAUUGUUCGACACAUAUAUUUUUUUUAUUAUUUCGGUUGAAAAUGAAAGCCAUUGACUCGAUUCGUCUUGUUAAACAUAUUCCCACGUAGUAGUGUUUUUUUUUUUUUCACGUAGAAUUUUAUUAUUACUAGCGCUUUGAAUAUACUCCC